AGGCACACACCACCAGGUCUGGCUAUUUUCUUUCUUUAUUUUAAAAAAAAUUUUAGAGAUAGGAUCCCAAUAUGUUGCCCAGUCUGGUUUCAAACUCCUGGGCUCAAGAGAUCUUCCCACCUUGGCCUCCCUCCCAAAGCACAGCGAUUACAGGGGUGAGCCACGGUGCCCCAUGCUCCUGUGGUUUUGGAUAGAGUACUCUUGGAACCCGUUAUGAGGCUGUCACCUGGACGUAAAGGCCAAGCCCCACAAACCCACUGGCUAUUCAUGAGCUCUAUCAAGUUACCACUUACUGUUUUUUUCUAAAAAAGACUUGACUUUUGAGAGCAGUUUUAGGUUCACAGCAAAAUUGAGAGGAAGGUACAGAGAUUUUCCAGACAUAACCUGGCCUCCCAUAUAACCUUAUUGCUUUCAAAAGCCAUCUUUUAAAAUUUUCUUUUCUCUGAUCCUCCAACACUUGCCAUUUUGAGGUCUCACCCCUAGAAGGGAUUAUUACAUCUGGUGCUUGUUUUAUUGGCUUUCCUUCCCCCUGAUUUGAUCUGGGAGACUUCACAAGCACAGGAACAGGCAUUGAUGGAGGUCGUUGAACAUGGGUGGGGUUGACUUUUCUCCUGAAGGUAUCAAAGAGACCAUCAGAGGAGGAAGGCUUUUGUGACACUCAGAUAUGGUGAGUCCCUGUUUUUGAAGGGUAGUGUUUUGGAAAAUGAGCAUAUAUGCAAACAAACUUGUGUUACCUUUGGGCUUUAUUGUGUGCCGGGUCACUAGCCACUAGACUGUGUGUGUGUGUGUGUGUGUGUGUGUGUGUGUGUGUGUGUGUGUGUGUGUUUAAUCAGCAUUAUCUCAGUUAGGCAGUCUAAUCUCAGUAGUAUUCACAGGAAGGAUUUCUACCUCCUUCGUAGUAUAGAGCUGCUGGCCAGGAGGUGUCCCUCCCUGUCACAGUCACAGAACUUGCAGGUGGCUGAGCCUCCCAGGUGCCCAGGUAGUCCAUCAGCACUGCCUUUCCCCUGUGAGGAAACUGAGGCCCUGGCAGUAUAACUCUCAAGGCAUCCCAGGCUCACUAUAGCAAUGACCAGCCUAGGUUAGAUCAGGUCCCCUGACUCUCAGCCUCUCUGAUAGCCCAUGGGGAGAAGUUGGUGAGGACAAGAUGAGACAAUGUAUCCUGCCUGGGAGGGGUUCUCCUGGGGCAGCUUUCUCACACAUGCCCUUUGCCUCCUGCCCUCUGCCUUGAAGUAUGCACACUCUCCUUGUCUAGCCCUGGGUGGCACACUUUACAAGGAGCCUAGCCUCCUGGCCCUUGGCUGGGGAAUCACAUAGCUUCCCAUGUUCCUGGGAGGCCCAGGGUGGGAGACAGAGGCCAGGUCCUAGUACUGGACCAGCCAGGACUUCUCUGUCUGUGCCUGCUACCCCACAUCCUAUCUAUCUGCCUCCUUUCUCCUGCCAGCGACAACCACAAAGCUCCCUCUUGCCUGGAAAAAUCUCCCUCUUGCCGGGAAGCAGAAAGAAGAUUCUUCGGUGUGCCCACUCAGCUGGGUCAGUGACGUCCCCUCGGUGAGAAAGUUCUUCCUGGGUUUGGGCACAGUUUGCUCUGCCCACAGGUGGGCAGAUGCUCCUAAGCCCUUCACCUUGUGCUGGACAGCGGGCAGGCUCCACUGCACAGGGCGGGGUUUGGGUUUCUUUCUCAUCACUGAGCCCAGCCUCCAUUUUUUUUUUUUUUUUUUUUAAGGAGGAUGUGAUUUCUACUUUGUUUCUCUUUUUUUGUUACUUCAAAUUGACAUCCUGACCUUGGGCAGAGUAUAGCAGGGAGCUUCCUUUUAUUCUUAUCUUUUUGUUUUGUGUUUUUGUUGUAAACUGUCUAAAACUGUUGGAGAGUUUAAUUUGGAAACAAUGAAGCCAGAUACCACAACACAAGUUUACCCUCAAGACUCUGAGCUCUUAAAAUGCGUAAGAAGGUCAGUUUUCUCCCCCUUUCUAAACUCAUUGCAAAUUUAUGUUUAGUAACUUUUUUUCCUAGUUUGAUAAGAUAUCAUUAGAGAAAGGAUGGUUCAAAAAAGAAGUGGUCUGAGAUGGGAGGAUCGCUUGAGCCCAGGAAUUGGAGGCUGCAGUGAGCUAUGAUAGCGCCACUGCACACCAGCCUGGAUGACAGAAUGAGAUAUCGUCUCUUAAAAAAGAAAAAAGAAGAAGUGGCAUGUGCUUUUUCCACUUUGAUUAAAAGAAAAAGUAUGGAAUGGUGUCUGCUAAGAAGCAUGCUUCCUGCUUGGCCAAUGCUGCCGGUUAUUUUUAUUUGCAAGUGUCAGAGCUGGGUUUCUCUACUUUCUUCCAUUUCAGACCUACUUCAUGCUCAUUCUUAUAUGGCAUUCAAAAAUACAAAUGUGAAACUUUAUAAAAGACUCGAAGG
rnacentral:lncRNA from 10 species